rnacentral:rRNA from 1 species
GAUGAACGCUAGCGGGAGGCCUAACACAUGCAAGCCGAGCGGUAUUGUUUCUUCUGAAAUGUGAGCGCGGCGUACGGGUGCGUAACACGUGUGCAACCUGCCUUUUUCUGGUGGGUAGCCUUUCGAAAGGAAGAUUAAUACUCCAUAAUAUAUUGAACGGCAUCGUUUAAUAUUGAAAGCUCCUUCGGUUUGAGAUGGGCACGCGGAAGAUUAGCUAGUUGGUGAGGUAACGGCUCACCAAGGCGAUGAUCUGUAGGGGGCCUGAGAGGGUGACCCCCCACGUUGGCACUGAGACACGGACCAGACUACUGCGGGAGGCAGCAGUGGGGGAUACUGGUCAAUAGGUGGAAGACUGAACCAACCAUCGCGCGUGAAGGACGACGGGCCGAUGGGUUGUAAACUUCUUUUGUAUAGGUAUAAACCUACCCUCGGGAGUGUGGCUGAGGACACAAUUCGAAUAAGCACCGGCUAACUCCG